GCUAACCCUUUAAGCCAAUUUGAUUUAGUUAAACACAAAUCACCAGGGUUUCAUAAAUAACCCUCAAAUAUCAACAGAGUAAUCAUUAUCCAAGAAUAAAAGAAUUUUAGAAAGAUAACAAUAUACGACUUAUUAGUGAACUCCCAACAUCUAUACUAGUCUGACAAGCCUCUAAGAAAAUCAAUAAAACUAGCGAGCCAUUGAGACAUACCCCAACUGACUAUACUCAGUUAUCAAAUGUAAACAAUUCCGUGAAACUAACAUUAGACAUCACGUCCUCGGAACAUGAGGACUCACCACAACAGAGGAUGUAGAACAGCAUGCCUAAAGAAUCACUGUCAAACCUGGAACUGAGCACCUGAACCUACAUUCCAAGAAAAUGCAGCCCCACAUCCGAAGAUGUGGGUCAGUACCAUAGAAAGGAACCGAGUAUAUGGGGGUGUAUGCAGUUGUAUAAACAUCAUCAUCAUAAAUAUUUAUAAAAAAUAUGCAGGAUGUAUGAAAGACUCACAUAGCCUGAAGAAAAUCAUCAUCAUCAUGAGAGGAUGAAAUAAGUACAAUAACAAAUGUGAGUUAUCAUAUAAUUUGUCAAUCACUUUCAGUUCAUCAAGAAUAUCAAUUCCCAUAAUGUAAAUAUCAUUUAAAUCUUUUGAAAGAAUAACUUUCACAAUUCCACUUUCAAAUCACUUAACCAUUCACCAUAGACACAAGAAAACACAGACACACUGGGAGAUCCUAUAACCGACAUAAACAAUGUGUGCUACAUGGAGUCCAACGUACAACCCAAGUUGGGGAGAGCCGUCCUAUCCUUGCCAUCGGAGUAUGACUAUCGAUAUAAAAUCCACACAAACUAGUGAUCACUAUAUAAAUCAGCCACAGGCUCACUCCUACAGGGGCAUGUAGUUAUAGGGAAGUAAGGUCGCGUUAUACCUCCCACUCGGUAUUAAAGAUUUUUCCCAGACUUAGCUCAGAUCAUUUCAAAGACAAUCAACAACAAAAUAAUUUCAGUAAUAUAUAAAUAUACAUCGGGAGCCAUCAUGCUUCACAUCUAUCAAAAUCAACCACGUUGUGGAUUUCUUUCACACUCGAGUUCAAAACAACUCUAUUAAGACCACAAGGUCAAAUCAUUCAAAAUAUCGCAAAUAUUCAACAUCAACGUGCUUAUAACACACACUUUCCAAAAAAAACACAAUUUCCAAUGGGGAUCACGACCCAAAUAUCAAAAUCAUGAUAAAUAUCGUUCAAGAUUCAUGCAUUAUAUCACAACACAUGUAAAUUAAUCUGUCAAUAUCAUAAACAUCAAGAUUUCAUAAUAAUCAUCAUAAGAUAUGGGUUCAUGCUUCAGAUUCAUAAAAAUUAAAUAAAAAUCAUGCCUAUAAGAAAAUUAAUAAAACCAACGAGCCAUUAAGAUAUGCCCGAACAGACUCAUACUUAGUUAUCAAAUGUAAACAAUUCCGUGAAACCAACAUCAGACAUCACGUUCUCGGAACAUGAGGACUCACCACAACUGAGCACCUGAACCUACAUUCUAAGAAAAUGCAACCCACAUCCGAAGAUGUGGGUCAGUACCAUGGAAAGGAACCGAGUAUAUGGGGGUGUAUGCAGUUGUAUAAACAUCAUCAUCAUAAAUAUUUAUAAGAAAUAUGCAGGAUGUAUGAAAGACUCACAUAGCCCGAAGAAAAUCAUUAUAAUUAUGAGAGGAAGAAGUAAGUACAAUAACACAUGUGAGUCAUCAUAUAAUUUGUCAAUCACAUUCAGUUCAUCAAGAAUAUCAAUUCUCAUAAUGUAAAUAUCAUUUAAAUCUUUCGAAAGAAUAACUUUCAGAAUUCCACUUUCAAAUCACUUUACCAUUCACCAUAGACACAAGAAAACACACACACUGGGAGAUCCUAUAACCGACAUAAACCAUGUGAACUAGAUAGAGUCCAACAUACAACCCAUGUUGGGGAGAGCCGUCCUAUCUUUACCAUCAGAGUAAGACUAUCGAUAUCAAAUCCACAUAAACUAGUGAUCACUAUAUAAAUCAACCUCAGCCUCACUUCUACGGGGGCACGUAGUUCUAGGGAAGUAUGGUCGCUUUAUACCUCCCACUCGGUGGUAAAGAUCUCUCCCAGACUUAGCUCAGAUCAUUUCAAAGAUAAUCGAAAACAAAACAAUUUCAGUAUUAUAUAAAUAUAGAUCGGGAGCCAUCAUGCUUCCCAUCUAUCAAAAUCAACCACGUUGUGGAUUUCUUUCACACUCGAUUUCAAAACAACUCCAUUAAUACCAAAAGGUCAAAUCAUUUAAAAUAUCUCAAAUAUUCAACAUCAACGUUCUGAUAACACACACUUUCUCAAAAAAACACAAUUUCCAAUGGGGAUUCAUGACCCAAAUAUCAAAAUCAAGAUAAAUAUCGUUCAAGAUUCAUGCUUUAUAUNNNNNNNNNNNNNNNNNNNNNNNNNNNNNNNNNNNNNNNNNNNNNNNNNNNNNNNNNNNNNNNNNNNNNNNNNNNNNNNNNNNNNNNNNNNNNNNNNNNNNNNNNNNNNNNNNNNNNNNNNNNNNNNNNNNNNNNNNNNNNNNNNNNNNNNNNNNNNNNNNNNNNNNNNNNNNNNNNNNNNNNNNNNNNNNNNNNNNNNNNNNNNNNNNNNNNNNNNNNNNNNNNNNNNNNNNNNNNNNNNNNNNNNNNNNNNNNNNNNNNNNNNNNNNNNNNNNNNNNNNNNNNNNNNNNNNNNNNNNNNNNNNNNNNNNNNNNNNNNNNNNNNNNNNNNNNNNNNNNNNNNNNNNNNNNNNNNNNNNNNNNNNNNNNNNNNNNNNNNNNNNNNNNNNNNNNNNNNNNNNNNNNNNNNNNNNNNNNNNNNNNNNNNNNNNNNNNNNNNNNNNNNNNNNNNNNNNNNNNNNNNNNNNNNNNNNNNNNNNNNNNNNNNNNNNNUUGGAUGUUCUUGAAGUUGGAUGUAGGAGCGUAGGGUUUUCCUUUUGAGGGAGUUUGAUGAAAUAUAACAUAUAAUGCUUCUAAUAGGCUUUAAUAUAGGGUUUGGACGGAUUUUGGGUGGGGGGAAUGACCAAAAUGCCCCUAAAAAUCAAAUAAAUUCUCGAAUCUGUCCUUUGGUGGACUGUUUUGAUAGUCUGAAGUAGAUCAACCAUAAUGUUUUACUUCGAUAUUCAAAUUAGAUAAAAUCAAUUUCAUUAGAAAAAGGAUUCUCAUAUCUUUCCGUUGAUAUAUAGUAUCUCACCCGAUCAUUGUGUACGAGGAGUUAUGAUCAUUUGAAGUUGACCCAAAAAUUUACUUUUGCUAGGCUGAAGUAGAUCGACUAUAACUUUUUGCUUCGAUAGAAAAAUUGGAUAAAACCACUUUCAUUGGAAAGAGGACUCGUAGAGCUUUCUGUUGAUAUAUAAUAAAUCACCCAGAUCAUUAUGUAGAAGGAGUUAUGAUCAUUUAAAGUUGGAGCAAUAAUACGCCCAGCCUCAGUACUUUUUCGUGCAUGUUUUACUGUUCCCCACUAUUCACGGUUCCUAACUCGUCGCUCGGGUGUCUGUUUUGAAUGAUCCACAUAUCGUUGGAAAUCUUAUUCGAUACUCUAUGCAAUGGUGGGUCAUAAUCUAAGACAUUUCACAGGGAAAAUUUAUAAUUCAUUCUAGAAGAUAGAACCCAACACGUUUACACACAAAAUUUCAACGAAAAAUUUCCCGGGGUGUUAUAUCAUCCCCCCUUGGAAACAUUCAUCCUUGAAUGAUUCUAGACAUGACAAUAUUAGAUAGGGAAUAGAGCAUACAACCUAAAACCUUUGUAAGACUCAUCACCACAUCGUUUCUCACUCCGAAUGCAACAUAGAAUGCAUAAAUUCAAGAAACUACAGCUGAACACAUAAUAAAUGAUAGCUGAACUGCUGUAACUUUUAUCAAAAGUGCAUGAUUUAGGAAAGAACGGUACCUUCGGCUUGAUCGGAGUUCGCAUAGAAUAGGUGCACGUACUUGGAUCGCAUAUCCGCCUCAGCUUCCUAAGUUGCACCCUCAACAGAUUGGUUUUGCCACAACACCUUGACCAAGGGAACUUCUUUGUUCCUUAGUCUUCGGGCACUGAAAUCAAGUAUGUCAAUAGGAAUCUCAUCAAAAGAAAUAUGUUCUUAAAUGUCAGCACUCACAGAGGAAUCCACUACUACAGCAUUGCUAAUAUGCUUUCUAAGCAUGGAGACAUGGAAUAUUGGAUUAACAGAGGACAACUCGGAAGGCAACUCGACUUCAUAAGCUACCUUACCAACACAGCUAAGAAUUUUNNNNNNNNNNNNNNNNNNNUUCCCCUUCUUUCCGAAUCUCUUCACCCCUCUCAUGGGUGAAAUUUUCAAAUACACUAGCUCACCAACUUCAAACUCAAGGUCUCUCCUUCUAACAUCCGCAUAUGACUUCUGAUGACUCUGUGCAGUUUUCAACCUUUCCCUAAUCAAUUUAAAUUUCUCCAUAGCCUCAAAUACCAAAUCAGGACCACUUAUAGCCGCUUCACCCACGUCUAACGAACCUAAGGGUGAUCUACACUUCCUCCCAUAUAAGGCUUCAAACGGAGCCAUGCCAAUACUAGAGUGGAAACUUUUGUUGUAAGCAAACUCUAUCAAUGGUAAGUGAUCAUCCCAACUUUCCUUAAAGUCAAGUGUACAAGCUCUCAACAUAUCCUCUAAAGUCUAGAUGGUCUCAGCCUGACCAUCAGUCUGUGGAUGAAAAGCAGAACUCAAAAGAACUUGGGUACCAAGACCCUUCUGAAAAGCAUUCCAAAAUUGCGAAGUGAACUGAGUACCCCUAUCCGAAAUGAUAGACAAAGGAACUCCAAGUAAUCUGACUAGCUCUUGGAUAUACAAUAUAGCGUAAUCCUCAAUAGUAUAUGUAGUAUGAACAGGCAAGAAAUGAGAAGACUUAGUCAACCUAUCAACCACAACCCAAAUGGAAUCAUGAUUGCGUCUGGAAGGAGGUAAACCAAUCACGAAGUCCAUAUUUAUCUCUUCCCACUUCCAGGUGGGAAUACUAAACUCUUGCAUCAUACCACCAGGUCUUUGGUGUUCAACCUUAACCUGUUGGCAUGUUGCACACUUAGCUACAAAUGCUGCAAUAUCUUUCUUCAUGCCACUCCACCAAUAGAUUUCCCGCAAGUCUCGGUACAGCGUGGUGGCACCAGAAUAAAUAAAAUAUAGCUCCCCAUGCACUUCAACCAUAAUCUUCUAUCUCAGAUCAUCAACAUUCGAGACACACAAUUUACCCUGCAAUCUCAACACACUAUCUCCCCCUUGGGAGAAAACCUAUACUUUUUGGUCCUUGACUGACUCCUUCAGUCUGACCAAACUAGCAUCUAAGUAUUGCUUUUCCUUCACUUCCAAAAACACCCCCCCCCAUGGACGCUCUACUUCGGCCACCCGCCACAACAUUGGCCUUGCCCGAAUGGUACAACACGCUAAUAUCAUAGUCCUUUAACAAUUCUAACCAUCGUCUCUGCCUAAAAUUCAAUUCUCUCUGUGUAAACACAUACUGCAGAAUCUUAUGAUCAGUGAAAACAUCAACAUGGACACCAUACAAAUAGUGUCUCCAUAUUUUCAAACUAAACACAACAACAGCCAACUCAAGGUCAUAGGUGCAGUAAUUUUUCUCAUGGGUUUUCAACUGUCUAGAAGUAUAAGCUAUCAACUUACCCUUCUGCAUCAAUACGCAACCCAACCCAACUCUCGAAGCAUCACAGUACACUACAAAACCAUCAAUACCAUCAGGGAAAGUCAAAACAGGGGCUGAAGUGAGUCGAGUCUUCAACUCCUGAAAACUUUUCUCACAAGAUUCAAACCACAUGAACUUCACUUUCUUUUGGGUCAACCGAGUCAUAGAAGACGCUAUAGAGGAGAAACCCUAAAAAAAUGGUGGUAAUAGCAGGCUAAAACCAAGAAACUUCGGAUAUAAGUCAGAGAAAUAGGUCUAGGGCAAUUUCUAACAGCUUCGAUCUUUUGGGGAUCAACUCUAAUACCCUUUGGGAGAAAUGAUAUGACCUAGAAAAGCAACUGACCUUAGCUAAAACUCACACUUACUGAACUUGGCAAAUAACUUGUGAUCUCUAAGGGUUUCCAAGAAAGUUCGGAGAUGAUCAGAAUGUUCAUACUCUCUACUGGAGUACACCAGUAUAUCAUCGAUGAACACUAUGACAUACAUAUCCAGAUAUGAUCUGAACACUCGAUUCACGAGGCCAUGAAAGCUGCUGAGGCAUUAGUUAACCCGAAAGGCAUAACAAGAAACUCAAAAUGGCCAUAAUGAGCUUGGAAAGUGGUUUUCGGGAUGUCACACUCCCUAACUUUGAGUUGAUGAUAGCCGGAACGAAGGUCUAUCUUUGAGACAUAACUUGCACCUUGCAAUUGGUCAAAUAAAUCAUCUAUUCUUGAAAGCAGGUACUUAUUUUUUAUGGUGACUUUAUUCAGUUGACGGUAAUCAAUGCACAUACGCAAAGAGCCAUCUUUCUUUCUCAUAAACAACACAGGAGCACCCCAAGGAGAAACACUGGGCCUUAUGAAACCCUUAUCUAGUAGAUCUUUGAGUUGCUUUUUCAACUUCUUAAGUUCUGCAGGGACCAUAUGGUAAGGAGUAAUAGUAAUGGGCUGAGUAUUGGGAAGAAGAUCAAUCCCGAACUCUAUCUCUCUAUCAGGAGGUAUCCCUGGGAGAUAAUCCGAAAAGUCAUCAAAAAACUUAUUGACGACAUUAACAAACUGGAGAGUUGCAGUCUCAGACUUAGUGUCUUUGACUCUAACCAAAUGGUAAAUACACCCCUUGGAAAUAAGGUUUCUAGCUUUGAGGUAAGAUAUAGAAUGACUCUUGGGUGACACAGAAUUCCCAAGCCACUCAAACACGGAUGCACCCGAAAACUGAAACUUGACCACUCAGGUCGGACAAUCAAUAGAGGCAUAAAAAGAAUACAGUCAGUCCAUACCUAGAGUCACAUCAAAAUCUACCAUGUCUAACUCAAUCAGAUCAGCCAACAAGACUAUAUAAAGAAUGGUAACAGGACACUUUUUAUACGCUUUUUGGGCAACAAUCGAAUCAUCAACUGGGAUAGAAAAUAGGAUAGGCUUAGGAAUAAUCUUCGGACUCAUUUCAAAAUUCACAGCAAUCAAAGUUGUAACAUAUGAGAAAUUGGAUCAAGGAUCUAACAAAGCAUACACAUCAAACUGAAAUAUACGAAGCAUACCAAUAACAACAUCGGGAGAGUCCUCCUAUUCCUGAUGGGAUGGUAAAGCAUAGAAUCUAUUCUGGCGCUGCCCGCCAGGAUUGCUAGAAGAGGCGCCCUGAGCUGGGGCUGGGCGAGUCGCUAGAACAGGAGCACUAACAGUCUGAGUCUGGGUCUGAGGGCGAUAGUCAUGACGCCAUUAUACAUCCUAUCAAUAAUCUCUAACUCUGUCACCCAUGCCACCACACCAGAAACAACCCCUCUUCUCACCCCAACACUUACCCAAAUGAGCCUUACCAUACUUAGAACAAAAGGGCGAUUUGGCUUACUACCACCACUGUACUGGGACAUGGAUACAUAUGACCUGGUACCUUGCUCCUGCCUACCUCUAGGCAUAGAAGCACUAGCAGAUGACGGUGUUGUCAUAGAUGAAUGAUCCUGAUACUGAGGGUGACUCCCUCCCUGCGAUCUAGUCUGACCUUGUUCAUGCUGCUCGGACCUAGCUCUCUUAUUCCCUUUCAUUCUAUCUCUCUCCUUAAUCUUGUCUGCCUCAAUCUGUUGGGCAUGAGUCAUUAGCCUAGAAAGAUUUAUCUCACUAUUUAGCAUAGCAGACCUACACUCCUUAACUACAUAACUAGACACUCCAGUCAAAAACUUACUCAUACUAGCCCGAUUAUCAGCCACUAUGUCAGGAGCAUACUUGGCCAACCGACUGAACUUUAGACAGUACAUCCUAACAGUCAUAAAGCACUAUCACAGGUUCAUAAACUAUUCUAUCUUUGCCUCUCUCAUCUCCAAAGGGAAAAACUUAUCCAGGAAUGCAUCCUGGAACUCUUGCCAAGUUGUAGGGACAACUCCCUCACCUCUACCUUUCCUCCAAGCAACAACCCAGUCAUAAACAAGGUCUUUCAACCUAUACACAACCAACUCCACACUAUGUUCCUCAGAUACAUCAUCACCUGAGUAAUCUUCCGCACCUUCAAUUAAAACAACCGUAGAUCCUCAUAAGACUUGGACCCAUAGAAUUUCGGCGGAUCUUGGCAACAACUGAAUCACCUCGCUACUGCUGUGGAGCCGGGGCCGGGUUGGCCUGAACAUUUGCAGUAACAGCUUAGGCCAGCGCCUGAAAGGCUACCCGAAAUUCAGCAUGAUAUACGUUUUCAUUCAAUGGGUCAGCGGUUUGAGGUUACUGACCAUAAUUAUUUCUUCUAGCUCGACGUAGAGGCAUAUUUCUAAAAGAGGAGAGCACAAAUCAAUAGCAAAGAGACACACUUUAAGCACGAUAGACUUCUGAAAGAAAAUAUCACACUUUUUCCUAAAAUGACUUGUAGCCUCUUGCUCAUAGAUGUGGCACGCUACACAUCGAUGAUCAAGACUCUACUUAACGUGGCAUCUCAGACUCCCUAGGACACCUUAAAACCUUAGGCUCUGAUACAAAGUUUGUACCACCCCAGAAAAUGGGUCACGGAGUGUCACACGAUGCUUGAGGCUACGGGUAGCCCCAAGCUAACCCUUUGAGCCAUUUUUAUUCAGUUCAACACAAAUCAACAGGGUUUUCAUAAAUAACCCUCAAAUUUUCAUAGAGUAAUCAUCUUCCAAGAAUAAAAGAAUUUCAAAAAAAUAACAAUAUACGACUUAUUAGUCAACUCCUAACAUCUAUACUAGUCUGACAAGCCUUUAAGAAAAUCAAUAAAACCAGCGAGCCAUUGAGAUAUGCCCCACCUGACUCAUACUCAGUUAUCAAAUGUAAAUAAUUCUGUGAAACCAACAUCAGACAUCACAUUUUCGGAAGAUGAGGACUCACCACAACAGAGGAUGUAGAACAGCGUGCCCAAAGAAUCACAGUCAAACCUGGAAUUGAGCACCUAAACCUAUAUUCUGAGAAAAUGCAGCCCACAUCCGAAGAUGUGGGUCAGUACCAUGGAAAGGAACCGAGUAUAUGGGGGUGUAUGCAGUUGUAUAAACAUCAUCAUCAUAAAUAUUUAUAAGAAAUAUGCAAGAUGUAUGAAAGACUCACAUAACCCGAAGAAAAUCAUCAUAAUCAUGAGAGGAUGAAAUAAGUACAAUAACACAUGUGAGUCAUCAUAUAAUUUGUCAAUCACUUUCAGUUCAUCAAGAAUAUCAAUUCUCAUAAUGUAAAUAUCAUUUAAAUCUUUCGAAAGAAUAACUUUCACAAUUCCACUUUCAAAUCACUUCAACACUCACCAUAGACACAAGAAAACACACACACUAGGAGAUCCUAUAACCGACAUAAACCAUGUGUGCUAUAUGGAGUCAAACGUACAACCCACAUUGGGGAGAUCCGUCCUAUCCUUGCCAUCGAAGUAGGACUAUCGAUAUCAAAUCCACACAAACUAGUGAUCACGAUAUAAAUCAGCCUCAGCCUCACUCCUACAGGGGCAUGUAAUUAUAGGGAAGUAAGGUCGCUUUAUACCUCCCACUCGGUGCUAAAGAUUUCUCCCAAACUUAGCUCAGAUCAUUUCAAUAACAAUCAACAACAAAACAAUUUCAGUAAUAUAUAAAUAUACAUCGGGAACCAUCAUGCUUCACAUCUAUCAAAAUCAACCACGUUGUGGAUUUCUUUCACACUCGAGUUCAAAACAACUCUAUUAAGACCAUAAGGUCAAAUCAUUCAAAAUAUCACAAAUAUUCAGCAUCAACGUGCUUAUAACACACACUUUCUAAAAAAAAUACAAUUUCCAAUGGGGAUUCAUGACACAAAUAUCAAAAUCAUGAUAAAUAUUGUUCAAGAUUCAUGCUUUAUAUCACCACACAUGUAAAUUUAUCUUUCAAAAUCAUAAACAUCAAGAUUUCAUAAUAAUUAUCAUAAGAUACGGUUUCAUGCUUCAAAUUCAUAAAAAUCAAAUAAAAAUCAUGCUUUUGUAAAGAAAAUUACUUUUGGGCACAAGAACGAAAGAGAGUUCUUGUUGAAAAACCCCACAUACCAUGAAUGAUGAACUUUAGAUCAAUACUCAUUUUUGAGAUGUUAAUCGUGCCUUUGAAUGAUGUUUCUUGGAGUUCUAGAACUAGGAACUAGGAAUCUUGAAUAAAUUUGCAGAAUUAAUGGUGAACUUUGGAGGUUCUUGAAGUUGGAUGUAGGAGCUUAGGGUUUUCUUUUUGAGGGAUUUUGAUGAAAUAUAAUAUAUAAUGCUUCUAAUAGUCUUUAAUAUAGGGUUUGGACGGAUUUUGGGUGAGGGGAGAUGACCAAAACGCCCUAAAAUUCAAAAAAAUUCUCGAAUCUGUCCUUUGGUGGACUGUUUUGAUAGUCUGUAGUAGAUCAACCAUAACGUUUUACUCUGAUAUUCAAAUUGGAUGAAAUCAUUUCAUUAGAAAGAGGAAUCUCAUAUAUUUCCAUUGAUAUAUAUUAUCUCACCCAGAUCAUUGUGUACGAGGAGUUAUGAUCAUUUAAAGUUGACCCAAAAAUUCACUUUUGAUAGGCUGAAGUAGGUUGCCCAUAACUUUUUUAUCCGAUUGACAAAUGGGAUGAAACCAAUUUCAUUGGAAAGAGGACUCGCAGAGAUUUCCAUGUAUAUAUAGUAGAUCACCCAGAUCAUUAUGUAGGAGGAGAUAUGAUUGUUUAAAUUUCGAGCAAAAAUACGUCAGGCCUCAGUACUUUUUCCUGCACGUUUUACUGUUCGCUACUAUUCACGGUUCGAUCGGAAUAUUCAUAACUCGUCGGUCGGGUGUCUGUUUUGGAUGAUCCGCAUAUCGUUAAAAAGCUUAUUCGAUACUGUAUGCAAUGGUGUCUUAUAAUCUAAGACAUUUUGCAUGGAAAAUUUAUAAUUCCUUCUAGAAGAUAGAACCCAACACUUUUAUAGACAAAAUUUCUAUUAAAAAUUUCCCGAGGUGUUACAGAUAAUGAUGCCAAAUUUUGAGUGCAAAAACCACAACCGCCAACUCUAAAUCAUGGGUGGGAUAGUUUUUAUCAUGGACCAUCAACUUCCUGGAUGCAUAGGCCUCCAUUAUACCAUGUUUCACAUGUACACACCUAAGUCCCACCCGAGACACAUCACAGUAUACUUUGAAACCCUUUGUACCCUAAGUAAGGGUAAAGACAAGAGCAGUAGUCAACUUGUAUUUCAAUAUUUCAAAACUAUUCUCACAGGCUCCAGACCAAAAAAACUAUUACCUUCUUCUGAGUCAACCUAUUAAGUGGAGCAACUAUGGAUGAAAAACUCUCUAAAAACCUUUAUAAUAUCCUUCAAAACCCAAGAAGCUCUAAAUGGCUAUCGAUUGGUCUGGGCCAUUUCUUUACUGCCUCAAUCUUUUGGGGAUCAAACUAAAUUCUGUUACUAGAAAUAAUAUCUCCGGGGAAAGCUAUUGCUCUGAGACAGAACUCACACUCAAAGAAUUUGGCAAACAACUCAUGAUUCUUAAGGGUCUAAAGCAUGAUUCAUAGGUGAUUAGCUUAAUCUACCUCACUCUAAGAGUAAAUCAAAAUAACUUUGACAAAAACAAUAACAAAUAAGUCCAAAAAUUGAUGGAAAACCCUAUUGAUGAGGUCCAUAAACGUACAGAGGCAUUAGUCAGUCUGAAGGACAUGACCAUUAAUUCAUUGUGACUAUACCGGGUACAGAAAGUUGUUUUUGGAAAGUUAGCCUCCCAAACCUUCAAUUAAUGAUAACCCAAAUGGAGGUCUGUCAUAGAGAAAUAUCUAGCACCCUAAAGCUGGUCAAAAAGAUCAUCAAAUUUUGGGAAGAUGGUAUUUAUUUUUGAUAGGGACUGUAUUCAACUAGCAGUAAUUUAUACACAAAUGGAGGGAGCCAUAUUUCUUAAGCAUGAAGAGAACAGGAGCACCCCAGGAGAAGACAUUAGGAUGAAUGAAGCCAUUACCAAGAACAUCUUUUAAUUUUUUAAAUCCCAUAGGGGACACUCUAUACAAUGGAAUAGAAAUAGGUUGAGUGUUUGGCAACAAGUCAAUACCAAAGUCUAUUUCCCUAUCUGGGGUAUUGCAGGGAGGUCAUCAGGCAAGACUUUAGGGAAUUCAUUAACUACUGCGACCGGCUGGGGAGAAUUACUUUCAUUGCUAGAAUCAUUGACCUGAAUAGGGAAGUGUUAUGGAAGGAAGAGGAAGCUCAGUCCCGGAUAUGUUUCCCUAUAUUUAGUUUGGAGAAGGGUCGGUAAAAUUGUGUAUAAGUUGGAAUAUCCCUCUAGUGUGGGUUCUAUUCACCAGGUAUUCUAUGUGUCGAAAUUGAGGAAGUUCGUAAGUGAUCAUUCAUUAGUUAUUCUUAUAAAGAGCAUUGGUAUUUCGGACUCCUUGUCUUAUGAGGAAAUCUCGGUGAUGCUCUUAGAUAGACAAAUUCAUCGGUUGUGAAAGAAGGAUGUGGAUUCAAUAAAGGUACUUUGGCAAAACCAAAAGUUCGAGGAAACUACUUGGAAAAAUAAGGAGGACAUGAAGUCCAAGUAUCUGUUCCUAUUCCUUAUUUUAGAAAAUUAUGCUUAAGAUAUAUGUGUCCUUAACAUCUUUGUUUUCUGGCUAUGUUAAAGGAAAACAUGUAGAUUUGUUGACUUUUUUGAUUUUCGACUUUUUUAAUGGGAAGUGUGGUUGUAUUUCUGUGUGAAAUCGUGCUAAUAAAUGGCUUUACCCAUUAUUCGAGGAAGAAUGAUCCUAAGGGGGAUGACUGAAACACCCCAGAAUUUGGCCCUUAAAAAUUCCAAGUUCUUGACCUCACUUCUUUGACUACAACUCCCCUUAUGAGUCAUAGGGUUUCUUUACUGGUAUUAAGGACAAAAUCAUAUCCUAAGAAGUGUGUAUGGCUAAGUCUUCUAUUCUGAGAAUGAGUGGCUCCCAAUGAGUCAUAUGGACUCAUUAUGAGUCGUUAUGUGUCCUCCGUCGGGUGACCAAUGUGAUGCCCAAUUGUUAUUAUGUGACUUUUACUGGUGGUUAUGAUUCAUAAAGACUCAGUACGAGUCAUUUGGUCCUAAUAAUAGCCAAGUCAGUGUGUGCCUCAAGUGUUUCUUUCCUAACAACUACUUUGACCCUAUGAGUUGUAUGGUCCCUUAACGAGUUGUAUGAUGUAAGUUGCAGGGUCACCUGUUGUUAGGCCAUAUGACACUGUCUCAAUUUCAUGGUCACUGGUGACCAAAUUUUCAGUCUUAUCAUUAAGGGCAUUCUAGUCAAUUCUUCUUUUUCCCUACUUAGUCCCCACGACCAUAAAGCACUAAAGGGAUUUAUUUCUCAUUCACAACUCAGCAAAAAUAUUCUCAAAUCUCUAAAAAAUCUCUCAAGCAACUUAGCGUUUCCAAGAAGUUGGUCAUCUAAGGGCUCAAGAGUCGAUUUCUCUCACUAAAUCUUUGUAUUUCAGCAAGUGAACCUACCCUUACACUUAAUAACUCUAUUUCAUGAAAAUACAUGUUUGUAUACAUGAUUGAAAAUGAGGGUUUUGACAUAGUUGAUGUAUUUUUACAUUACUGGUCUUCCAAUUAAUUUUCCAUGGUUAUUUAUGGACUAUUCAUCCUUAUUGAUGGUUUUGAAACUUGUGGGGUGCAUGGGUUUGGUUGAUAAAAAAAGGGGUCAUGCUUUCCCCAAGUUUUAUGGUUUUGCCUUGACUUGUGGCUUUGAAAAUUGUGUGUACCAAAUUGAGAAAUUGAUAUUGAUAAUUGCCUUGUCACAUGAUUUGACUUGUCUACUUGAACUAAUGCAUUGGUAUAAAGGUUAAUGAACUAUAUAUGUGCCUGAACCUAACCGAGACCCUGGCCAUGAUGAGCAUUCCGAACCAUGAAGGCCUGGACACCCUUCUAACUUGUAAUUAUAUACACCAUUCAUACAGAAAUAAAGGAACGCGUAAAAUAUAGUGAAACGGACUCAUGGUCAUAAGUAUGAUAUAAAUUUGAUAAUAGAAAAUGACAAUCCAAAAUUAUCUAACAACCUCUGGAAAACUGUCUGCGAAAUCUCUACUACACGAUUAAUAACAAGUAUGUAAAAACUUAGACAAGGUCCGCAGCAGACCAAAACUAUAAUAGAGGACAUAAUCUGAAAAGAGCAAGCCUUAUGGAAUAGAGAAGGCUCACCACUUCACAGUUUGAUCUGUUGUCUGAAUUAUCUACUGCUUAUCUGGACCCCUAAACUGUGCCUCAGAACCUGAGAGGCAGGGUGGUGGGUCAAUACGGAUGUACUGGUACGCAGAGUAAUCUAAAAAUAAAAAUUGAAUUUUUAUCUAACAUAUAUGAGAGCUGCUAUAAAAUACUUUAUCGAAAAAUAGUUGUAAAACACUUGGGCAUAGUAUAAUGAUUUUUUGAUAACACUGUAUCACUACUGAGCUAGGUGGUACACCCCUACAAUCAUUCACCAAUUAGGAAAUCCUGGUUGUCCCCAAGAUUGGACUAUUAGUGAGGAGAGAAGAACACGCAAGAUCACACAACAAGGUGUCUCUCUCCCAAUCAAGUCCACGUGUCAGGGUUGGGCUCAAGAUCACAAAGUAGGGGUCCUAACCAGUAGUCCCGAAUAGGAAUGACACAAUAAAAGGUAUCAAAGAUCAUAUAGCAUGGUUCCAGGUUCCCCGUGUCGGCAAUUCACGGUUUCCAGCAUAGAGUCAUUUGACUCGUGCUUUAUUCGGGUAACCUCCUAACUCACAUAAAGUUAAGAUUUAAGCUUGAUUCAAGACAAAACAUAUAUCGGGUAUCGUCAUACCCCGACGUACAAGUCAUCAGUAUAACAUUAAUUCUACAACUUCUUAUAUCAUUCACAACAUGAACAUAUAUAAGACUUCCACACAUAUCAAACACAUGCACAAUGGUUCUCAACAUAUAAUAAUUCAAUAAGUUUUAUCAUUUAUGAGUAGUAUCAUACAAACAGCAAAAUCUCAUGCUCUCGAUACUUUACCAUAAGUAUCAUAUAGGGUAUAUAGCAUUAUCAUGGGAGUUUUGAAGAAUUAGAAUUCAUAUACAUCACAUCCUUCCAAAAUUCAGAUCACAUGUCCACAAUUCAACAAUUGAAAUAUAUUCAAGGAAACAACCCCAUGAUAACCCAAUAUUCUUUUCAAAAUCAUAUCACAAAACAUGUUUUUCGUGUUAAAACUACAAUCCCACUUGUAAUAACAUAUAUAUACUUGCAUAAAUUAAAGUCUUGAAUAAAUUCUUUUCGAAAGCAUGCCCAUGAAAUUUAGUACAACCCCACGUAUCUCUAUUUUGGAAAAUAAUGGAUGAUUCUCGACGCUUACGGCAUGGGGAUUCCAAAUCUGUGUCUAAUUUCGAAAACCCACGGUUGAAUCUUGGGUUGCUUGGAUUUUUUAGUUUGAAACCCUUACAAAUGUUCUUGAGAAAUUUGGAUAAUUGUGAAUGCAUUUUGGUGUAUUUGGGAUUAAAUCUCGUGUUUAAGAUGAUUGGGGAAUUGAAAAUUUCCAAAAUACCCUUAAAAUCUCAGAGAAAACUAAAAAAUGGCCUCGUACAAUACCCAAGGUGUUGCCCUGGGUUGAGCACCAUGAUAGCCAAGGCGUCACCUCGACUAUCACCUUGCUCACCCCCAGGUAAGGCGAUCAGCGAGGAGCCACGGGCUAAUCGCCCCGGCUCAUUGUUUCUUCAACCAAAACUCACCCUAAAGGUCGUCUAAAAAUUCAAAAACUCACCCGAGAUGUACUCUUGACUUGGCCCACCGCAUAUGAACAAAAUAAUCAAUAAACGGAGGUCGGGAAGGUUGAAAAUAAAUUCCCCAAAGAUUGAGAGCUAAAAAUGAUUUUAUGUCCCCUUUUACACUUAGAAAAUUUUCAAACUUUUAACUCAACAAGCAUACUACUAUGAUAUAACACAUGAAGGAAUUCACGGGGCAUUACAUUAUCCCCCCUUGGGAUCAUUCGUCCCAGAAUGAUGAUGCGGAACACAGAUAAGCAUGAUUUCAAGCAUAAUAGGGCAUAGGAAAAGAAAUAAGACAAGGAUGGUACCCUCUAUUUCGUCACUUGCCGGAUAAAAUAAGUUUGGGUGACUAUCUCUCAUGUCAUUUUCUAAUUCCCAGGUUGCUUCUUCAACUUUUUGAUUCCUCCACAACACUUUAACUAAGCCUAUUUCUUUUCUUCUCAACUUUCGAACUUGGCGAUCCAAGAUCACCAUAGGUUCCUCUUCAUAUGUGAAAAAGUCUUAACACUUUAAUUUCCUCAACAAGUAACACUAAUAAAUGGUCUCCAAUACAUUUCUUCAACAUAGACACAUGGAAAACUGGAUGGACGGAACCUAAACUUGAUGGAAACUCAAAAUCAUACGUAACCCCACCUAUCCUUCUUACGAUUUGGUAUGGUCCUAUAUAGCGAGGAAUCAGCUUACCUUUCUUCCCAAAAUGCAUGACUACCUUCAUAGGGGAGAGUUUAAGAAACACCCAAUCACCAACCUCAAAUUCUAACUCCCUUCUCCUAACAUCGACGUAGGACCUCUAAUGACUCUGAUCUGUCUUGAGUCAUUCUUUAAUGAUUUUCACAUCUUCCUUUUCCUGAUGAACAAGAUCAGGCCCAAACAAUCGCAUCUCACCAGCUUCAUGCCACCAUAUAGGCGACCUACAUCUCUUUCCAUACAAUGCUUCAAAAAGGCCCAUCUUAAUACUGGCACAGUAGCUAUUAUUAUAGGCAAACUCUAUUAGUGGCAAGUGAACUACCCUUGAAAUCAAUUACACAGGAUCUUAACAUAUCCUCAAGGGUAUGAAUGGUGUGCUCAGCUUUCCCAUCCAUCUGAGGUUGGAAUACAGUACUUAGGUUCAAUUGGGUACCUAAACCUCUCUGGAAAGACCUCCAAAACUGUGAAGAAAAUUGCGUACCUCGGUCAGAUUUGAUGGAUACCGGCACCCAUGAAAGCGAACUAUCUUCUCAAUGUAUAGCUUGGCAUAAUCAUCUCACAAAUAGUUAGUUCUAACAGGUAGAAAAUGGGUUGACUUAGCCAGCUGAUCAAUAAUCACCCAAAUGGAAUCAUAUUGGUUUCAGGACCUUGGAAGUCCUAGAAUAAAGUCCAUAUUGAUCAUCUCCAACUUCCACAAAGGCAAAGCUAUCUCUUGAGAAGUACCACCGGCCUCAUGCGUUCCACUUGAACUUGUUGUCAAUUUAAACACUUGGCAACAUAGUUAGCUACAUCACACUUCAUAUUAUUCCACCAAUAAAUGGUUUUCAGAUCAUGAUACAUCUUGGUAGAGCGUGUUUGAACAACAUACCUCAAAGUGUAAGCGUCAUCAAGGAUUCUCUUCCGCAGACCAUCUAUAUCUGGCACAGACAAUCUACCCUGAUAUCUAAAAAUAUCAUCACCCCCAAUUUCAAAGGACAUCACCUUUUAUUAACCCACAUCUUUCUUGAUCUAUAUCAAGAUGGGAUCUUCGACCUGCUUCUCCUUAACAUCAGCACAAAGGGAUGAUUUAGCUAUCUCAUGAACAAUCACUCCUCCAUCUUCAGAAUCUAAGAGUCGCACCUCAAGAUUUGCAAGUCGAUAAAUAUCUUUUACCAUGUCUCUCUAUCCUUCUUCAAUAUAAGAAAAACUACCCAUUGACAAUUUGCUAAGAGCAUCGGCUACCAUAUUUGCCUUAAACACUUUAACUAAGCCUAUUUCUUUUCUUCUCAACUUUCGAACUUGGCGAUCCAAGAUCACCAUAGGUUCCUCUUCAUAUGUGAAAAAGUCUUAACACUUUAAUUUCCUCAACAAGUAACACUAAUAAAUGGUCUCCAAUACAUUUCUUCAACAUAGACACAUGGAAAACUGGAUGGACGGAACCUAAACUUGAUGGAAACUCAAAAUCAUACGUAACCCCACCUAUCCUUCUUACGAUUUGGUAUGGUCCUAUAUAGCGAGGAAUCAGCUUACCUUUCUUCCCAAAAUGCAUGACUACCUUCAUAGGGGAGAGUUUAAGAAACACCCAAUCACCAACCUCAAAUUCUAACUCCCUUCUCCUAACAUCGACGUAGGACCUCUAAUGACUCUGAUCUGUCUUGAGUCAUUCUUUAAUGAUUUUCACAUCUUCCUUUUCCUGAUGAACAAGAUCAGGCCCAAACAAUCGCAUCUCACCAGCUUCAUGCCACCAUAUAGGCGACCUACAUCUCUUUCCAUACAAUGCUUCAAAAAGGCCCAUCUUAAUACUGGCACAGUAGCUAUUAUUAUAGGCAAACUCUAUUAGUGGCAAGUGAACUACCCUUGAAAUCAAUUACACAGGAUCUUAACAUAUCCUCAAGGGUAUGAAUGGUGUGCUCAGCUUUCCCAUCCAUCUGAGGUUGGAAUACAGUACUUAGGUUCAAUUGGGUACCUAAACCUCUCUGGAAAGACCUCCAAAACUGUGAAGAAAAUUGCGUACCUCGGUCAGAUUUGAUGGAUACCGGCACCCAUGAAAGCGAACUAUCUUCUCAAUGUAUAGCUUGGCAUAAUCAUCUCACAAAUAGUUAGUUCUAACAGGUAGAAAAUGGGUUGACUUAGCCAGCUGAUCAAUAAUCACCCAAAUGGAAUCAUAUUGGUUUCAGGACCUUGGAAGUCCUAGAAUAAAGUCCAUAUUGAUCAUCUCCAACUUCCACAAAGGCAAAGCUAUCUCUUGAGAAGUACCACCGGCCUCAUGCGUUCCACUUGAACUUGUUGUCAAUUUAAACACUUGGCAACAUAGUUAGCUACAUCACACUUCAUAUUAUUCCACCAAUAAAUGGUUUUCAGAUCAUGAUACAUCUUGGUAGAGCGUGUUUGAACAACAUACCUCAAAGUGUAAGCGUCAUCAAGGAUUCUCUUCCGCAGACCAUCUAUAUCUGGCACAGACAAUCUACCCUGAUAUCUAAAAAUAUCAUCACCCCCAAUUUCAAAGGACAUCACCUUUUAUUAACCCACAUCUUUCUUGAUCUAUAUCAAGAUGGGAUCUUCGACCUGCUUCUCCUUAACAUCAGCACAAAGGGAUGAUUUAGCUAUCUCAUGAACAAUCACUCCUCCAUCUUCAGAAUCUAAGAGUCGCACCUCAAGAUUUGCAAGUCGAUAAAUAUCUUUUACCAUGUCUCUCUAUCCUUCUUCAAUAUAAGAAAAACUACCCAUUGACAAUUUGCUAAGAGCAUCGGCUACCAUAUUUGCCUUACCUGGAUGGUAUUGCAGUCUAAUGUCAUAAUCCUUUAGCAAUUCUAUCCAACGCCUUUGCAUGAGGUUCAAUUCUUUCACCAAGAAGACAUAAUGUAAACUCUUAUGGUCAGUGAAAAUAUCAAUAUGCACCCCAUAAAGAUAAUGCCUCCAGAUUCUAAGUGCAAACACCAUAGCUGCUAAAUCCAAAUCAUGAGAGGGGUGAUUCCGCUCAUACACCUUUAACUUCCUAGAUACAUAAGCCACCAUAAUACCAUGCUGCAUAAGGACACACCAAAAUCCCACGCGGAAUGCAUCACAAUACACAAAAACCCCCUAUGUUCUUUUCAGAAGAGUCAGAACAAGUGUUGUACAAUUUGUCUUUCAUCUUCUCAAAACUAUUCUCACAGGAAUCGGACCACACAAACUUUACCUUUUUCUGAAACUUUACCUUUUUCUGAGUUAACUUAGUAAGUGGAGCAUCUAUGGAAUAAAAGCUUUCUACAAAUCUUCUAUAAUACCUUGUCAAACCCAAGAAGCUCCGAAUGUCAGUUGGAAUCAUGAGUGUGGGCCAUUUUUUCAAUGCGUCAACCUUUUGGGGAUCAACCUUUAUUCCCUCACUAGACACAAUGUUCCCCAAGAAAGCAAUAGCAUUUAGUUAGAAUUCACACUUAGAAAACUUAGCAUACACCCUAUGAUCUUUGAGGGUCUGAAGGAUGAUACGGAGGUGAUUUUAUGGUCCUCCACACUCUUAGAAAAAACCAAGAUGUCAUCAAUGAUUACUAUGACGAACAUAUCCAGAAACUGAUGGAAGACCCUACUCAUCAGAUCCAUGAAAGUUGCAGGGGUGUUAGUCAAUCCAAAAGACAUGACUAAGAAUUCAUAAUGACCAUAUCUGGUUCGAAAAACUAUUUUGUGAAUAUAUGACUCCCUAACCUUUAUCUGAUGAUAUCCCGAAUGAAGGUCUAUCUUUGAGAAACAUUUAGCUCCCUGAAGUUGGUCAAAAAGAUCAUAAAUUCUAGGAUGAGGGUAUUUAUUUUUAAUCGUGACCUUAUUCAACUGGCGGUAAUCUAUGCACAUAUGAAGGGAACCAUCUUUCUUUCGCACGAAGAGCACAGGUGCACCCUUGGGGGAAAUACUAGGGAGGAUAAAACCUUUAUCUAGAACAUCCACUAGUUGCUUUUUCAACUUUUUCAACUCUGCACAAGCCAUUUUAUAUGGCGGAAUAGAAAUGGGAUGGGUGUCUGGCAAUAGAUCAAUACCAAAAUCUAUCUCCCUAUCAGGUGGUAUUCCUGGGAGAUCAUCUGGAAAUACUUUUAGAAACUCAUUUACCACAAGAACAGAUGGAAAGGAAGAACUUUCAGUAUUAGAAUCUUUGACUCGAAUAAGAUGGUACAAACAAUCUUUGGAGACAAGUUUACGGGAUCUUAGAUAAUAUAUAAAGUGCACUCUAGGUGCUAACGAAUGACCCUCCCAUUCUAUCACAAGUUCAUUCAAAAAAGAAAAAGUAACCUUUAGGGUUCUACAGUCUAGUGUAGCAUAACAUGAAUGGAGCCAGCCCAUCCCUAAGAUGGCAUCAAAAUCCACCAUAUCAAGCUUUAUGAGGUCUACCACAAUAUCCUGGAUAAAAAUAGACACAACAUAAUUCUUAUACACCCUUGUAGCUACAAUAGAAUCCCUCACUAGAGUGGAAACAGUGAAAGAUUCAGUAAUCACGUCAGUCUCAAACCCAAAACCAACGGCCACAUACGGGGUCACAUCAGAUAGGAUAUACCCGGGAUCAAGUAACACAUAAACAUCAUGGGAAAAGAUUUUUAACAUAACAGUAACUAUAUCUGGAGAGGCCUCUUCCUCCUGGCGGUUAGUGAAGGCGUACAACUGGUUGUGACCACACCCGGUAGAUAAAGUGGCUCCCUUCUGAGGUGGUGGUGAGGAAGAAUUUGCUUGAGACUUGGCUCCUCCAGAGUUACCCCAGUGGCAGGGCAAUCUCUAUGUAAGUGGACCACUUGGCCGUAGGACUAACAAUUUCUCCUCUCAAAUUAACACUUUACAAGAUGGUUCCUCCCACAGACACUACAAUGGGAAAAAGAUCUGGCGGGUUGCGUUAAGCUACCAUGUGAAUGGGUGUCCUGCAUCCUCCCUCUAUAAUUAGCCUGAGGAUUAUAGGACUGCUAAUCACAUGGAGGUCUAGGCGUAGGGGCACUGGUUGUAGGCUGAGCAUUUCCCCAAUUCUUUCUCUUCUGCCACCUGUUUCCCCAAUUUUCACUUUAAAGCUGGCUGUGACUCUAGUCUGCUAUUUUGGCUUACUUUUCCUGUCUGUCCUUCUCCCUAGAAUCGAUAAUCUUUUUCUUCUUCUCCUAAACUUGCUGCAUGUGGACUGAUAGUCUGGCGAAGUCCAUGUCCCUAUUCAAAAUCACCCCCUGACAUUCAAGUGCUAGAUUAUCUGAAGGGUCGGAUGCAAAUUUUUGCAUUUGGGCUCUCAUAUUAUUAGUCAUCUCUAGUGCAUAAUGGAAAAGUUGGUUGAACUUCAGAGUGUACUCCUGGAUACUCAUCUUUCCUUGCUUCAGGUUCAUGAAUUCUUCAACUUUGGCUCCCCUCAUCUCUAGAUGGAAGAACCGAUCAAGGAAGGCCUCUACAAACUCACCUCAGAAUGUGUGUUCAGCACUCUCACCCUUCGCAUCCCCCCAUUUAUUAUACCAUUGGUUUUAUAUAUCCUUAAGUUAGUAUACUGCCAAUUCAACCCUUCCACCUGAUCUACAUGCAUUACCCUAAAAAUCAUCUUUAUUUUGUUCGCGAACUCUUGUGGAUCCUCUUCUACCUUAGUGCAAGAAAAUUUGGGCGGGUUCAUUCUCAUGAACUGACCCACCCUAGUAGCCUCCGAAGUAACAGAUGCAUACCCAGUAUCCUUCAACCUCUGAGUCUGUGCGGCUACAAGCUGUUCAAGUAUGUGAAUAGACUGUCUGAAUUCAGCAUUAGAUAUAUCCCUCUCAGAAUACUUGGAAGGUUAACAUUUGCCCUUGGAGUUCGAGGAGGAAUGGUCAGGACUGGAGGUACUCCUGGAGUAGGAAUAGGUUCUAGGGUGAACGCUCUAUUACGGGUCCGCAUCCCAUGGGUGGGGAGGACUUCAUCAUCCUAAUUAUCCUGAUUGUUAGAGCAGCAAAGAGAUAUGGAUGCUUUCUGAAAUACAAGAUACCACAUGAUUAGGGGACAAAUUAGACUCUAAGGCAUGAACUGAAUCACAAAGAGGGGAAACAUUCCUAAAUGCCUAGUAGCCUUCUGCUUAUUAAUGUGGCACUCUACAUACCCAUAAACAAGACUCUACCUGAUAUGAUUUUGUAGACACCCUGGGACCAUGAACUGUGCUCUGAUACCAAUUUUAUCACGACCCAAACCGAGACUUUGGCCGUGAUGAGAAUCCCAAACCAUUAAGGCUCCGACACCCUUCUAACUUGUAAUCAAAUACACCAUUCAUACACAAAUAAGGGAAUAUGGAAAAUAUAGCGAAAUGGACUCAUGGUCAUAAGUCUGGUAAAAAUUUGAUAAUAGAAAAUGACAAUCCAAAAUCAUCUAACAACCUCAGGAAAAGCGUCUGCGAAAUCUCUACUAUAUGAUUAAUAACAAGUAUCUAAAAACUAGGACAAGGCCCCAGUAUACCAAAACUAUAAUAGAUGACAUAAUCUGAAAAGAGCAGGCUUUCUGUAAUAGAGAAGGCUCACCACUGUAUAAUCUGAUCUGCUGUCUGAAUUAUCUACUGCUUAUCUGGACCCCUAGACUGAGACUCAGAACUAGAGAGGUAAUGGAGGUAGGUCAAUACAAAUGUACUAGUAUGUAGAGUAAUCCAAAAAUAAAAAUAAAUUUUUUAUAUAACAUAGAUGUGAGAUGCUAUAAAACACUUUAUCGAAAAAUAUUUCAAAAACACAUGAGCAUAGUAUAAUGAAUUUUUAACAACACUGUAUCACUACUGAGAUAGGUGGUACACCCUAUAAUCUUUCACCAACUGCCAAAUCCUGGUUGCCGCCAGGAUUGGAGUAUUAGUCAUGGGACAAGAACACACAAGAUCACACAACAAGGUGUCUCCAUCUCAAUCAAGUCCAUGUGUCAGGGUUGGGAUCAAGAUCACAAAGUAGGGCUCCUAAGUAUUUGUCCCAAAUAGGGAUGACACGAUACAAGGUACACCAGAUCACAUAGCAUGGUACCAAGUUCCCCGUGUCAGCCAUUCAUGGUUUCCAGCAUAGAGCCAUUUGACUCAUGAUUUCUUUCGGUAACCACCUAACUCAUAUAAAUUUAAGCUUUAAGCUUGAUUCAAGACAAAACAUAUAUCAUAUUCUGUGGGGUAUCGUCAUAACCCGACGUGCAAGUCAUCAGUAUCACAUCAUUCUCCAACUUCUUAUGCCAUUCAUAACAUGCACAUAUAUAAGACUUCCACACACAUCAAACGCAUGCACAAUGGUUCUCAACAUAUAAUAAUUGAAGAAGUUUUAUCAUUUAUGACUAGGAUCAUAGAAACAGCAAAAAAUCAUGCUCUCGAUAGUUUAAUACAAGUAUCAUAUGGGGUAUAGAACAUUAUCAUGGGGGAUUUAAAUAAUCAUAAUUCAUAUACAUCACAUCCUUUCAAUAUUCAGAUCACAUGUCCACGAUUCAAAAAUUAAAAUAUAUUCAAGCAAACAACACCAUGAUAACCUAAUAUUCUUUUCAAAAUCAUAUCACAAAACAUGUUAUUGAUGUUAAAAUGAAAACCCCACUUGUAAUAACAUAUAAUACUUGCAUAAAUUAAAGACUUGUAUAAAUUCUUUUCGAAAUCAUGCCCAUGAAAUUUAGAACAACCCGCGUACCUCUAUUUUGGAAAAUAAUGGAUGAUUCUCGAUGACUGCGGCUUGGGGAUUUCAAAUCUCCGAUUAGUUUUGAAAACCCACGGUUGAAUCUUGAUUUCUUGGGUUUUUUAAUUUGAAACCCUUAUGAAUGUUCUUGAGAAAUGUGGAGGAUUGUGAAGGUAUUUUGGUGUAUUUGGGAUUAAAUCCGGUGUUUAAGAUGAUUGGGGAACUGAAAAUUCCCAAAAUACCCUUAAAAUUUUGGAGAAAACUUAAAAAUGGCCUUGGGCGAUACCCAAGGCGUCGGCCUGGGUUGAGCGCCGCGAUAGCCAAGUCGUCGCCUUGCCUAUAUCCUUGCUCACCCAAGGUGAGCCGAUCAGUGAGGCUCCGCGGGCUAAUCGCCACGGCUCACUGGUUCGUCAACCCAAACUCGCCCUUAAGGUCGUCUAAAAAUUUUGAAACUCACUCGAGACGUACUCUUGACUAGCCCCAUUGUGUAUCAACAAAAAAUCAAGAAACAGAGGUUGAAAGGUUGAAAAUUAAUUCCCCGAAGAUUGAAAGCUAAAAAUGAUUCUAAAUCCCCUUUUACACUUAGAAAAUAUUAAUCUUGUAACUCAACAAGCAUACUACUACGAUAUAACACAUGAAGGAUUUUACGGGGUGUUACAAAAUGGCUCCAAAAAGGCCUUGGUGGCCAUGAAUUUAUUAGAAUUGGAGCCUUGGGGCUUGGUUGGAUAAAUGGUUUGGGUCUCAAAUGUUUGACUAAUUUGAUGUCCCUUUUGGACAAUGGGAUCGAAUCGCAGUUGAUGAAAUAAUUCUCAUGGCAUGUUAUACACUUGCAAAUGGGGUUGGUAUGACGAUACCAACGAGAUGCCUUAAUAGUUAAUUGGGUUAAUAAUCAGGAAUGUGUGUUAAAUGUUUUAAAUUGGCCUUUAAAGAGGGUUGUAUAGCCAGGCCGUGAAGGAAAUAUUAUUAAGUUGGUACGUAACAAAGAUAAAACUUUCGUUGGUACACAUACACAUAUUUUUACAUGAUCAAUUGAUGAAAGAAAAACUUCAUUAUUUUGAUGAAGUCAGGGAAGUCGAGAAAAAUUUGUAAGAAUUUCCAAUAAGGCAUGGUUCAAAGCUUCUCCGCGAAAAGUUCAGGAUAGCUUCAAAAACAUCACUUUAAGGGGGAUUGUGAAAAUAUCAAUGUAGAUUUUUGGAAUCAUAGAUUUCUACUAAAGUUUCUAGAAUAGUCUAGUGUAGUAUUUAGGAUAAUCAACUUGAAGAAAUAUCUAGAUAUUGUAGAGCAAUGGUAGAAGAUAAAUAUCACUAGGUUUUUAUCUUAUAGAAUUAUCUAGAUAUUCUAGAGUAAUAGAAGAUAAGGAUCACUAGAUUUUUCUUAUAAAAGUAUUUUGAAAAAUAUCUACAAUCUUCCAUAGGCAAGUAUAAAUAGGAGUCACAUUGUACAUUUGUAACCAUCCAAAAAGCCAACCCAAAACAAUCCAAUUUAAGUAGUCUUCUUCUAUACCCAAGUUUCCUUUCAAUAUCUUCCUUUACCUUCAUAGCUUCCUCUUAUUAGUAGAAUCUUUUGAUCUUAUUUAAUGAUCUUUGGGUAGGAGAACGUCUUUCCAAUUACACCUUUUUUCUACAAUUCUCUACAGGGUUGCCAUUACUAGAUCGACUUUGUUGGGAAAGGCUGGGAUACUUCUUGGAUUAGUUGACAUUGCUGAAUCCAAAGAUGAUUAUUUAUUUCGUGUUUCACUCCCCUUGUGACACCAGGGAGUGAAACACGAAAUAAAUACUCAUCCUUGGAUUCAGCAAUGUCAACUGAUCCAUAAGUGGCCUGGCAUUUCCCAACGAAGCCGAUCCAAUAAGGACAACCCCGCCAUUAGCAUGAUUUAUAAGAUGGUUCUGGCUGGGCAAGCAGAGAAAUGGUGCAUUGCAGGCUAAUAGUUUUCUUGUGAAAGGUGGAAGGAAACAAAGAGGGUUGGGAAAAUGGCAUAUAUUUCAUGAGAUAAAUUGCCUCAGUUUGAUGAAUAUUUUAAGAGAUCUGGGAGCAGAGGGAAGGUGGGAAAAAGUUCUAUUUUUGUUUUGUAUAUGAGUAGAUUCAUAGUUGCACAAGAUUUGAAUAAAUUAAUUUUCUAUGUAAAUUUGAAGUAAUAUAUUUCGUUUAAAUAUAUUUUCAUAUUUAGAAAUUACAUAAAAGUUUUAUAAAUUGUUAUAAUUAAUAAUUCAAAAGUAUUCUAAAACAAUAAUGUGAAAAGACAUCAUCACUUGAUUCUCCAAAUAAUAUCUUGAUCAUAUAAAGUUAAAGAAAGGGAUAAUAGUUAUUAUACACUUGUAAUAGCUUUCGAAGUUUUAGUGUUAUUUGAUAGUUAUAGAAAUUAGUUUUACAAUGGCUAAUAAUGAUAAUUGUCGUAUCAUUAUCAUAGACCAGGCAGAAACUUUAUAAAUAUAAUACUAAAAACUUGAUGGGCUUAAACGAAAUGUUGCUCACCUUUUUAAAAUAGAUAUCAGACUAGACAAAAUAGCCAUCAAACAUUUUCCUAAAAUUUAGAAAUUGAAAAUACAUUAAUAUUUUGUUAUUAAUCCCACACCUUAUUUGAAUUGAAUAUACCUAAAAUUUAUUCCUUAGAAAAUACUAAAUGUUUUCCCAAUUUCGUUUGUAACAGUUUGAAUUGGUGGGAUCGUGUCAAACUUUAAUUAGUGUUCUAAAUAAACACACAACAUUACUUUACAUUUAACAUUUUAUCUCAUAAAGUUUUCUCAAGCUACGUCCAGUCGUAAAGCUGAUUGUCAUAGUUCCGUACAAUUAAUUGUCAAUGCAGAUGCCGUGUAAUAGAAAUGUGAGAUUACUGUAAUAAUGAUGAAGAUAUACUAAGUGUAAAUUCAUAAAUAGGGUCUAGAUUAAGUGAUCUUACCUCUAUCUUCUGAGAGGUAGAGAGACAGUUUCAAAAAGAUCCCGGGGAUAAUCGAGUGGAAAACAAAGAGACUAUUACAACAACAAACUUUGCUCCUAUGUCCCAAAAAAUAGAGAGGUUGUUUUUGAAAGACCCUCGAGUUCUGGUUGAAUGGAAAACAGAGAUUACAAGAACAACAAAAAACAACAACAACACGUCCAGUAUAAUUUCUUGGGUGGGAUUUGAAGAGACAAAAUGUAGAUAGAAUUUACUUCUAUUGCUCAAACAAUAGAGAGGUUAUUUUUCGAAGAUUCCUCGCGUACGUCGGUGUGUGGGGGGGGGGNNNNNNNNNNNGUUAACUUUUUGACUUGUAACUCAACUAUGUCUUUAUUCUAUCAAAUCCAUCAAACAAAUUUCCACAAUAAAAACUUAUUGAGCUUCAUUUUAAUGUCAUAAAAAGUUAUAAAAUUGAUUUCUUUUAAAAGUGAAAGAAAAAUUCACACACUAAAAUUUAAAGAACUGAAAAGGAGGCUCUAAUACAACGUAAAUUUUGCUGACUUAUCUCUCUAGUUGAGAGUUCUGUCAUUGAAUAGAAGGUCUUGUCCUUGUACAUCCCUAAAGACCGGCCAUGAGUACCCUAAUAUUUGUAUUCCCUAAUAUUUGUCAUUCUUAGAUCUUACAUUUUUAAGAAUUUCUCCUAUAUCUAAGUAUUGAAAGUUAUUUACACUAGUAUUUACAAAUAUUACAUAUUUAUAACUGAAAUCUCUCUAGAUUGCCGGACAAAUAUUAUCUGUCCAUUAACCUAACAUGUAUAAUAUUCAAUUUUCAAGUAUAAAAGAAAUUUAACCUUCAAUAAUUGAAUGGUGUAUGGGACUAUCCUUGAUACAUAAGCAAGGUAGUUCAGGGCAUUACCAAGAUCAGAGCACAAGAAAAAGUUCUUUUGCUCAUGCUAAGGGAAGGCAAUAUAUGGACAGAUUAUACGCCUAAGCUAACUUUUUAAUUUUGCACACGAUUAAAAAACUGUCAAAAACUUGAUCUAAAAAAACUGACUUCAAAAGAGGUGGAGAAAAAUCAAUCCCAUGUGGUUGGCGCUUAAACAAGUAUUAUAAGAUUUUUUAAACAAAAUCGACAUCUCAAGGUCAAAAACCCAAAAUAAAAAUUAAAUUAACCUCCUAAGAUCAAAUUCAUUUAAAAAAAAUUGCAACAGUCAAUCUCCGGAGAUUGAUUAUUUUUUUUAAUAUAAUUUUUUUUGCAAAUGACCUCAUGAGGUCAAUUUUUAAAUUUUUAAUUACUAUUUAUUUUUUUAUAAAAGUUAACUGCUGAUAGAAAUGUAUUCUACCAUAUUAAAGAUGGAAAUUUGAAUCACAAAUGGUGUAUCUUAUUAUUUUGCAAUUGAAAAUCAACCUCAUGAGAUCGACAUUGUUCAAAAUGAAAAAUAAAAAUCGACUUCCUGAAAUCAGUUUAUUUUUUUUAAAAAAAAAUUAUUUAGAUAAAAAUCUCACGAAGUUAAAAAAUACAGACUUCAUAUAACAAUAUCAUAUUAGCAAAGAUUGUCAAUAGUACAAAUUAGUUCUCAUUAAAGGCAAGUGAAAUACAUAUCUACAUAGCACAAAUUUAACUGUUCGAGAUGAAGCAACUUAGAAAUGUCAGUCUAGAUGCACAUGCGAGGGAUAUCUCAAAUUAAAUUUUAAAUCGCGAAGGAAGGAGAAAUUAAUACUACUCAACAAACAUUCUUGGCUAAAAUCUCUUACAAAAUCAGAGAAUAUGGAUGUUCCGUGAACAAGAUUACCUGGAAGUAGAGAAAGAUUUUCGAGUGCCCAAAUUAUCGAGAAUUUUCUGUCGGAGAGGAUCUAGAGUUCUCUAUUAAAAAAGAGUUCUUGAACCCGCAGUUUGACUCCCACAAACAGAUGAAUUUGAGAUUGACUGUGAAAUUGAGCGCUCUAGUAGUUAAAAUUUUCAAAUAUAAGAUUGACGGGUCAAACCGCAAAUUAUAAUAGGUCGUCACUUGAGACUUCUAUAAUAAUGCCAGUCUACAAGCCGCUUAAAAUGUAAAUAAAUCUUAAAUUGGAUUUUUUUUUUUAUUAUCUACUUUUAUACUGGAAAUUAAUUUGAUGAAAGAACUCGUUGCAUUACGGAAACUCCUUGAAAGAAUCCGAAUUGUAAGUUAACUAAUGUAAUGAUGGUGGAAAGUUUCAUAAUUAGUAAUAGCUAUGUUUAGUUCAAUCCAAUCUUCUUUUUAGAAUUAUACUAACUAUUGUACGUUGAGGAUUAAGACGCAUUCAUUCGAUCCUCUUAUAAAUACGUUGAAGAACCAUUUUCACUUUUUAACUUGAUUAAUGGUAAAGGGAUAGAUCAUUUAUUAAUAGUAUUAAUACAUUUUAAUAAAAUGUAAAGACCCAAGCUGAGGUCCUUACCACAGCGGGCAUCCCGACCCAUGAAGGCUCGGGAGACCCUUAACAUAUUAUCAUAAGCAUAAUUUACAACAAUGGAAAUGUGAAAGGUAAACUGAAACAUGAAAAUUUUUCAUAAUCAAAAUUAGUACAUCAAGACAUGAAUCUAUGAAAAUCCAAAUCUAGUGUAACAAAUUUAUGAAGCUUCUACUGAAACAGUAGUCUGUCUAAGCAGGGACAAAGCCUCCAAUCGGAGCAUGAAACUAAAAAUAAAUCAACAUGUAGAUAAAGCUCCUUACAAAGUAAGGGAGGCACACCAAUUCUGAAUGUAUAAAACAAAUCACUAUUAAGCUAGACUACGAGAUUGUAUCUCAGAACCUACAUUAUGAGACAAUGCAACUGUCAUGAGGACGGACAAUACUUGAAAUAUAUUGGCACAUAGAAAGGCCAAAAGAAAUAACUUUCAAAAUAUCAUAAUAGUCAAAACAUCAUAAAAAUCAUAACAUGGGGUCAUAUGACAUUAAAAUAGUCUGAAAACAUGUAAUUCAAUAAAAAACCGCUUUGUAAACAGCAUCAUGUUAGUCUUUAGUUCUGAGCUAGGCGGUAUACACGACAGGAUCAGAAAAAUCCCAAGGGUUAUGCAGAGUUUGACAUUAACUUGUCGUACAUUCCCCUAAUCCCAGUUUGAUGCCAGGAUUGGAUUGUCUGGCCUGGUAUAUAAUGGCAUAUAGCAAGUAUACAAUGAUCAUCCAUAUUUGAGGACAAGAUCAAUCCCGUAUUAGCAAAAAAUGGUUUUGAGCUAUUAGUUAUCUAAACGCGUGCCUUCUUGGUUAUCCACCUAAUUCUCUUUAAGCCCAUAUUUUAACCUCUUAAAAUAUGCGUACUUUCUUAAAACAUGAUCUAAUGUCUGAAAAAUUUGUAGUCUAGUCUGGUCUGAGUAUUUCAUGACAUUUGUCUAAUUUGAUAUCGUCAUACCAAGACUUUCAAGUUGUAUAAGCCACACCAUAUCGUGUCAUAUCAUAUCGUAGCCCUUUUUAUUCAAAAUCAUGUCAUUUGACCACUGCAAGGACUCAUAGGCCAAAAGAGAGUUCUCUUUUAAAACUGUUAUGAAAGCUUAAGUAAAAAUGUCUUUCUUUCAAAGCUUAACUCUUAAGGUGGUCAUAUCUUUCAUAAACACAUAGUAAAACUCUUCCAGUAAUCUUGGUGGUUUAGUUAAGCAUUCCCAUUCAUGAAAUUUGUUAAAGCUUUUAAGAGAAGGAUUACUCUUUUCAAUCAUAUUCAAUGCACAACCAUUGUAAAACAAAAACAACAUCAAAAGAAGGCUUUAACAAAAUGUUGUUCUCCUUUAGAAAAUAGAUUUCAGACUAGACAAAAUGGCCAUCAAACAUUUUCCUAAUUUUUAGAAAUUAAAAAUACAAAAUAUUUUCCCAAUUUUGAAUCAAACAUUGAAUAAACCUAAAAUUUAAUCCUUAUAAAAUACAAAAUAUUUUCCCAAUUUUGGUUGUAACAGUUUGAAUUGGUGGGAUCUUGUCAAACUUCAAUUAGCGUUCUAAAUAAACAGACAACAUUACUUUAGAUUUAGAAUUUUAUCUCAUAAAGUUUUCUCAUGUUACGUCCAGUUGUAAAGCUGCUUGUCAUAGUUCCGUACAAUUAAUUGUUAAUGCAAUUUAAUAGAAAAGAGAGAUUGCAGUAAUAAUGAAGAAGAUAUAGUCAGUGUAAAUUCAUAAAUAGGGUCUAGAUCAAGUGAUCUUACCUCUAUCUUCUGAGAGGUAGAGAGACGGUUUCGAAAAGAUCCUGGGGAUGAUCGCGUUGAAAAGAAAGAGACUACUACAACAACAAACUUUACUCCUAUGUCCCAAGAAAUAGAGAGGUUGUUUUUGAAAGACCCUCGAGUUGUGGUCGAAUUGAAAUGAGAGAUUACAACAACAAAAAACAACAACAAUAAAAACUAAAACGAUAUGUCUAGUAUAAUUUCUUGGGAGGGAUUCGAAGAGACAAAAUGUAGAUAGAAUUUAAUUCUAUCCCUCAAAAAAUUGAGAGGUUAUUUUGGUAGGUUCCUCGUGUACGUCAGGGGGGAAAAGAGAGAGAGACUAUAUGUUAACUUUUUGACUGGUAACUCAACUAUGUCUUUAUUCUAUCAAAACCAUCAAACUAAUUUCCAUAAUAAAACUUACUCAAUUUCUUUUAAAUGUCAUAAAAAGUUAUAAAAUUGAUUUCUUUUAUAUGUCAAAGAAAAAUUUAGACAUUAAAAGUUAAAGCAUUGAAAAGUCGGCGCUAAUACAAUGUUAAUUUUGUUGAUUUAUCUCUCAAGUUGAGAGUUCUGUCCUUAAAUAGAAUGACUUGUCCUCUUACAUCCCUAAAGACCUGCCAUUAUGUAGUGUAUGACUUGCUGGGACCAACGGUUCGGUUACCUUCGUUUGUUUUUUUAGAUCAAAUUCCCUAUCUAGAAGUCUUUACUGGUUUAAAUGGCCACUGAGUGAAAACUUCAACGAAACGAUCUCGGUUGUAAAUUCUGACUGCGCAGACAGUUCUUAAAUAUUGAUUUUAGUCUAAUUCGACCUUUGAUUCGAUUUCCAACACACGCGAGCUCAUUUCGACCUAAUAGUCGGAAAGUUGUAAAAUCGAAAUUAUAUGUGUGGGACCUACUUUUUGCAUAAACGACCUUGUAUGGAAAUUUCAAUGAUGCAAAUGAAUUUGAAUUGUUUUACACCCAAAUUUUACCAUUGGAUCAUAUAUUUUUUGUUCCGGAUGAGUUUUGAGGGUCAAAAACAAGUUUUUGACCUUGCUGUCAUAAGGUACCGCAUCUCUUCUCCGAGGUUGUCUAUAAAUAGACCCCACGGUCGCAAAUUUGUGUCUUGUGGGUGUUUAGGGAGUUUGGUAAACAUCUUUGAUCAUGAUUAUCAUCCUGAUUAAGGUAAGAUUUCAUUACUGUAUUGGUGAAUUUCUUAGUUCUUGAUUCAAAAUCUCAAUUUUUAGCUUAGGUCUUGAUUUAACCCUAAAUUUGAUUUGUUUUCACCCAUUAAUUGAGGGUUAUGAUUCCUUGGUUAUGUAUGAGCAUUGGGUUAACAUCAAAAAUGUGAUUUUCGUACGGGGGACCCACUUGGGAUUUUUGGUGUUGUUUUUGGAUCCGAAGCACAAUAGUUCAAUAUGGGUAUCAUUAAACUCUUAUUGAUCAUUAGAUUAUAUUUUUUGAUAGUGUGAUGACAUUUUGGGGUUUGUGAAGUGAAGACGAGCAUGUGGUGCUUGAAGUGUGAUUUUGCUGUCAAGGCCUUGUCCACUUUCCUUUAUAGAUGAUGUAUGACAUGUAUUACAUGUGGAUAUGAAUAUUAGGAUUGAUUAUGAGUAACAUAGCUUACCCUUGAUUAUUGAUGUUUUUUGAAAUUAGAUGAUGAUUUUGGACCCGUAAGAUUGUAUGUUUAUAACCUGCUGGAGUCCUAUUGCCUUCUCCCUAGUUUAGAUAGCAUUAUAGCAUGGAUUUGAUAUAUUUCUAGAUUAUGUAUGUGGUUUUAGUAUUGGAAGCAUGAUUAUUUUAUUGAUCUUAUUGGUCCAGUGUGACAUUCUUGAAACCAUAAUUUGGAUAGAACUGACUUAAGUGCCCUUUUUUCUAGUUGAAGUUCCUAUCUUAGGCUUGUAUGUGGCUUACUUGAUAUCUAGAAGUUGAACUAGAUAUCUUAUCCUCAUUUGGGGCAUAGUGUACCUAAUUAAAGAAAUUAAGGUUUAGAAGUUGGAUUGUCCGGCCCACUUAGGCCUAGACUUUUGUUAGUCAUUGUGUAAUUAGUUGCAAAUGUUAAACAUAGUUGAGACUAGUAAACCUUAGUAUAAUAUUACUUUGCGAUUAGGUAUAUUGUAAUGAUGUUUCUAGGAUUGUGACUUAUGAGUUAUAGCUAUGUUGUUUGUUAUAGAAAUGAUGUGAUAAAAUGGACCCAUAAAGAUAUUAUUUCCUCCAACACUUGUUACUUGGACCAUAGAUAUGCCAUUUCCUCUUAGACUUGAUAGUUGAACCAUAUAGAUGUUGUUUCCUCUUGGACAUGAAGUUGGGUCCUUAGAGAUAAUUUUCCUCUUAGAUCUGAUGUUGGGCCUAUAGAGAUGCUACUUCUAUUUAGAUAUUAUAGUUGGCCUAGAGAGGUGAUAUUCCUCACUAUCAUGAUGAAUGACCUUUAUAUAUUAAAUGACUUAUAGUUACAUCAUGCUUAUUGAUAUUAUGCCUCCUAUGUGAGAGAUGAUUAUAUGCUUAUUGAUAUUAUACCUCAUAUAUUCGCGAUGCCCCAUAGAUGUGAGAUGAUUAGAUAUAUGCUAUGACAUGUAACUAUGAUUAUACAGAUGUGUUCCAGAUAUGUAUAUGGGCCGAAGGACAUGAUGAUGAUAUUUUGAUUAUUUUGGAUAUAUUAUUGGGCCGAGGGUCUAUAGCUGAUAUUGAUUGGACAUACGGGAAGUGUUUAUCCUUGUUGAGGAUGCGGCUCCAGUUCAUGAAUAUAUGUAUAUAUAUAUGUGUAUACACAUCUCUCUAGUAUGGGAUGAAGAAUGGUGUGGUAUGAUUCUUAUGAUUUCACUGAUUGAAUACUGGUGAUGGAAUGCAUGAUUAGAUACAUUCAUGAUUAUUAUAUCGAUUAUUGAUGUGACUCUAGCUGAAUGUGAUCUUAUGACUGUUCUUCCCAAUUAUGGUAUAAGCUACGUGGUAACUAGUUGUCUAUUAGGUGACGAUAGUACUUAAUGCUUAGAAUUCUAAAUACGUUAGUUAAUGAGCCUUACUUAGUAAUAUAGCAACUAACGACUAGAGUUGAUACAUGGCUAUGAAAUUGGGUUUAUCAAUGGUAGUGAUAUUUGGUUAUUGAUAACAAGUUGUAAUGUCGAUUAGUUGUUAAAUUAGGAUAAUGUGGUCAACAUUGAUAGGUCUUAAGGAAUGCUAGUGAUAAUGAUUCCUAGUUAAUAUUAAUGCCUCAUUACUGAUGCUAACUAGCUAAUAAUGAGGCCUAUGGUGAACAGUAUUAGAUAUUGAUUUGUGUUUGUUAAUAAAAGAUGCUUAGUUGAUAAAUGAUGAAUAGUGAAUAGAUGGAAAUUAUGGAUUAAUGGUGAACUUUGACUAGACAUUAGGCUUGGCUAGUUAUUGAUUAAUGGUUAGUUGCUAUUCCAUGAUUAAUGAUUAUGUGAAGAAUCGGCUAGAUUGAUAACUAAAGAUAAUUUUAUGACUAGUAUACUAACGGUAUAAUAAUGAGACCUGAGCAAUUAAUAAUGAGUAGAUAGAAUAUAAUGAUAAGGUAUUUAUCUUUACGAUAUUAUGAUUAUGGUUAUGAGUAUAUCGAUUUGCGUCUGUACACCUAUUGUAUGCCUAUAUGUAUAUGUUGAUAGUUACGUUGAUAUAUUGAUACUUGGCUAGGCUGGAGGAUAUUGUGAUGACAUAUUGAUACCCGACAAGAUUGGAGGAUAUUAUGAUGAUAUUGAUACCCAGUUCAAGUUCGGAGAAUACUAUUGAGAUGAUAUUAAUACACGGCAAGACCGGAGGAUAUUAUGAUGAUAUUGAUAUCCGGUUUGAGUACGGAGAAUACUAUUGAGAUGAUAUUAAUACCCGACAAGGUCGGAGGAUAUUAUGGUGAUAUUGAUACCCAGUUCGAGAUUGGAGAAUAAUAUUGAGAUGAUAUUGAUACCCAAUUCGAGACUGGAGAAUAAUAUUGAGAUGAUAUUGAUGCCCGACAAGGCCAGAGAAUAUUAUGAUGGUAUUGAUAUGAGGUUCGAGUUUGAAGAAUACUAUUGAGAUCAUAUUGAUACCCAACAAGGUCGUAGGAUAUUGUGAUGAUAUUAAUACUCGAUUCAUGUUCGGAGGAUACUAUUAAGAUGAUAUUGAUUUCCGGCAAGGCCGCAGGUUGAUUACGAUGAUGAUGGUCCUGAUGAGGACAGUUAUUAUGAGUUGUGAUAUUGUUGGUAUACUUUGCAUUCAUUCCUGCAUGCGCGUCGCCUAUCACCAGUAUGCACCUAUAUUUAUUAGCCUGUAUGGGAUGGUUGCAUAGAUACAGGUGAAGGAUAUGUCUUGUAUUGUUGUAUCUUGAUUGAACCUUCCGAGCCUGGGGUGGUGGGGGUACACAUAGGCUCGUCUAGGUAUUUGUUUUUCUGGAGUAUUCGAUUCUUAAUGCCGUUAUUGAUAUUGUUAUUAUCAUUGUUAUGAUCAUUAUUAUGGCUAGCUAUGACAGAUUGGUCAUUGAUCCGGUAUCGGAAUUUGAGGUAUGUUUUUCGCCUCUCCUAUCUUAUCAUUGUGUUAUUAUGCAUAAGUAUUUCAUGUCUAGCCAUGUGGAUUAGAAUCCCCGAGUAUGAUAGUAUUUAACUCAUGAUAGUAUUUUAAUGAGGUCUUAAAAUGAGAACAUGAUGAUCUAGGUUAUGUUUGAAAAAAUCUUCUGUUAAUAUUUUUAUAUAUAUAUAUAUAUAUAAACAACGAAGAAAGGGAUAUAUGAAGCCAUGGUACUAUCAGAUAUCCCUUCCUUCGUUGUUUAUAUUGUAUAGUCGUUCGUUCGCCUUGUAUAUUACAAAAAAGUAAUAUAUCUUUCUUUCAUUCUUUAUUUUUAUAUUGACCAGGGAUAUACAGUAUAGUAUUGAAACAUAUUGAAUGUAGCUGGAAUAGGAUAGUUCACCUUGAUACUUCCUUAGUCUUAUGAAGUUAGACUCUUGGACAUGAAUAGGAUAGUUGUCCCUUGUUAUUCUCAUUGACUUAUUACAUGAUUUACGGACUCUUGGUUGUAGUUUCAAUUUUAUUUAUAUGUUGUAUAUAUCUACUUUAUCUUUGGAGCUAUGUUGGCAGUUGCCUACUAAGUACCAUUCAUUUGGUACUCAUACUACACCUCUGCAGCCUGCAGAUCAUAAUACGGGUUAUCGCUAUUGAUAUGUGCAUCAUGCAGAGUAGCCCUAAUUCAGAGACAUAGAGUGAGCUCCUGACGUUCUGAGUAUUACUUAUCUCUCUCCUAUGUAUUAGAUUAGCCUCUAAGUUGUAUUCAGAGAUAUGUUGAAUCAUGUAUUUUUCCUUGAUAUAUCACUUUUGAUCUCUUAUUAUGUUUAGAAGCUCUUGUACUGAUACCAUUAGGUUUCAGGAUUCUUUUGCGUAUUGAUCUUUAUUUCAUAUAUUCUACAUUCUUUUUCUUAUAUUAUUGAGUAAUCUGUUACUAGCUGUUCCGGACAACUGGUUGGUUUGCCUACUUGUGGGUUAUGGUAGGUGCCAUAAUGAUCUGAUAAAUCAAGUCGUGACACAUGAAUACCCUAACCUGCCAUGAAUACCCAGAUAUCUCUAUCCCCUAAUAUUUGUCAUUCUUAGCUCUUACAUUUUUAAGAAUUUCUCAUAUAUCUAAGUAUUAAAAGUUAUUUACACUAGUAUUCACAAAGAUUACAUAUUCAUAACUGAAAUCUGUCCAGAUAGCUCGAAAAAUAUUAUUUGUCCAUUAAGCUAACAUGUACAAUAUUCAAUUUUCAAGUAUAAAAGAAAUUUGACCUUCAAUAAUUGAAUGGUGUAUGGGACUAUCCUUGAUGCAUAAGCAAGGUAGUUCAGGAUAUUACCAAGAUCAGAGCAGAAGAAAAAGUAAUUUUGACUCAUGCUAAGGGAAGGCAAUAUAUUCACAGAUUAUACCACUAAGCUAACAUUUUAAUUUUGCACACGAUUAAAAAACUGUCAAAAAAUUGAUCUAAGAAAACUGAUUUCAAAAGAGGUGGAGAAAAAUCAAUACCAUGAGGUUGACGCUUAAACAAAUAUCUUAUAAUUUUAUAAACAAAAUCGACAUCUCAAGAUCAAUUUUUAAAGCGUGAAAAACCCGAAAAAAAAGAAGAGAAAACUAACCUCCUAAGAUCAAAUUUAUUUAAAAAAAAAUUGCAACAGUCAACCAAGGAGAUUGAUUCUUUUUAAUAUAAUUUUUUUUUUUUGCACAUGCCCUCCGGAGGUUAAUUUUUAAAUUUUUAAUUACUAUUUUUUUUUUUGAUAAAAUUUAACAGGCGAUAGAAAUGUGUUCUACCAUAAUAAAGAUGGAAAUUUGAAUCACAAAUGGUGCAUCCUAGGAAAUUUGAAUCACAAAUGGUGCAUCCUAUUAUUUUGCACCUGAAAAUCGAUCUCAUGAGAUCGAUAUUGUUCAAAAUGAGAAAUAAAAAUUGACUUCCUGAAAUCAGUUAACUAAAGUAAUGAUGGAGGAAAGUUACAUAAGUAGUAAUAGCUAUGUUUAUUUCAAUCCAAUCUUCUUUUUAGAAUUAUACUAAUUGUUGUACGUUGUGGAUUAAGACUCGUUCAUUCGAUCUGCUUAUAAAUACAUUGAAGAAUCAUUUUCACUUUUUGACUUGAUUAGUGGUAAAGUGGUAGAUCAUUUAUUAAUAAUAUUAAUACUAGUUUUAACACAAUGUAACGACCCAAGCUGAGGCCCUGACCACCACGGGCAUCCCGAACAAUGAAGGCUUGGAGACCCUUAGCAUAUUAUCAUUAGCAUAAUUCAUAUCAAUGGAAAUGUCGAAGGUAAACUUAAACAUGAAUCGUUUGCAUAAUCAAAAUUAGUAUAUCAAGACAUGAACCUAUGAAAAUCCAGAUCUAGUCUAACCAGUUUAUGAAGCUUCUAUUGAAACAAUAGUCUUUCUAAACAGGGACAAAGCCCCCAAUAGGAUCACGAAACUAAAAAGAAAUAAACAUACGGAUAAAGCACCUCCACCAACUCUGAAUGCUUAAAGGAAAUCUACUAUGGGACUUUGUCUCAGAACAUACAUUAUGAGACAAUACAGCAGCCGCGAGGACGAUCAAUACUGGAAAUGUUUUGGCACAUAGAAAGGCCAAAAGAAAUAACUUUCAAAAUAUCAUAAUAGUCAAAACAUCAUAAUAAUCAUAACAUGGGGUCAUAUGACAUCAAAAUAGUUUGAAAACAUGUAAUUAAAUAAAAAAAAUCUUUGUAAACAACAUCAUGUUAUUCUUUUGUUCUGAGCUAGGCCGCAUACCCAACAUGAUCUAAAAAAUCCCAAGGGUUAUGCAAAGUUUGACAUUAACUUGUUGUCCAUUCCCCUAAUCCGAGUUUUCCGUGAGGAUUGGAUUGUUUGGUAUCGUAUACAACUGCAUAUAGCAAGUAUACAAUGAUCAUCCAUAUUUCAGGACAAGAUCAAUCUCGUAUUAGCAAAAAAUCAUUUUGAGCUAUGAGUUAUCUAAAGUCGUGUCUUCUUGGUUAUCCACCUAAUUCUCUUUAAGCCCAUAUUUUAACCUCUUCAAAUAUGCAUACUUUCUUAAAACAUGGUCUAAAUUCUGAAAAGUUUGUAGUCUAGUCUGGUCUGAAUUUGUCAUGACAUUUGUUUUAUUUGAUAUCGUCAUACCAAGACUUUCGAGCCGUAUAAGCCAUAUCAUAUCGUGUCAUAUCAUUUCAUAGCCCUUUUUAUUCAAAAUCAUGUCAUUUGACCACUGCAAGGACUCAAAGGUCAUAAGCGAGUUCUCUUUUAAAACUGUUACGAAAGCUUAUGUAAAAAUGUCUUUCUUUCAAAGCUUAACUUUUAAGGUGGUCAUCUCUUUCAUAAACAUAUCAUCAAACUCUUCAAGUGAUCAUGGUUGUUUAGUUAAGCAUUCUCGUUCAUGAAAUUUGUUAAAGCUUUUAAGAGAGGGAUUACUCUUUUCAAUCAUAUUCAAUAAACCACCAUUGAAAAACAAGAAUAACAUCAAAACAAAUGAUAAUUAUAAAAACCUUCCUCAAGCAAAAUUCAGAAAGAAAAUCAUUCACAGCCUUAUCAUUUUCACAAAUCACAAUUCAAUAUGCGCACAUACAUAUGUAUGAACCCAUUAGAAUGCACAAUUGAGUAUGGAUGCAAAUCUUGAAAUUCAUGCUCUCGUUGUGAAUGAAAAUCUAAAUUCUGCAACACUGAAAAGAGCUAAAAAAAAAUUAUGAAUUCUAACCACAUAAGAUUUAGGUCGUUGUAUGUACCUCUAAUGGAGAGAAAUUAAAUCAAAGUUUACGCUUGGAUCUUGGAAUCCUCAAACCAUAGGAAGUUUUCUCCUCUCUUUCUCUUAGAAUGAUG
rnacentral:lncRNA from 1 species